UAUAGGGCAACUUUUGAGCCACAGAAAUCCUGCUAAAUACAAUUCCAGUGACAUUUAGAUUCACACGCUGCCAGGGGAAAUUCACUAAUUUUCCUCCCCGAGCAUCAUUAUGGAGUCUCUUCCUUGCACUGCGCCCUGGAUUAUUUUUUUACAUUCCUCAUAUCUUUUCAUUUACUUUUUCUAAUCACAACUUCAUGCAGCUUCACUUUGGGUUUUGGAUUAUUCAAACACUUCUGAACUACGGGGACAUGAUAUGAUCUUUAACCCAAAUGACUUAUUCCAGUGAGAUUACAGAAGUUGAACAUUUGUAUAGCACAUAGAAUGUGCCCCCACUGACCUAAGAAUGCCCCUUGUUCUGGCCUGUGUCAUCCUCCCAGCGGCCCUGGAAGUACGUAUCAUUGUUUUUCUCAUUUCACAGAUGUAGUGACCAUGCACAGAGAGGCCAGUAAGUCACACGUUGCACAGUGGGAAGAGGUGAAGUGACUGCCUCACCAGGGAAGCCUUCGGUCCAGUCUCUCAAAGUUAUGUCCCGAAGUCGGCAUGCUUCUUUGGAGUCACAUCUUGCAGUAGCUGGCCCUGGUAUUCAGGACACGUGAGCAGAGCAGACCCACAUGGACUCAGUGUUAAGCCUUUUGACAGCUUCUCAGAUAACGCGAAUGGCCAGUCAGACAUGUCUCCGCGGCGAGCACCAGGUGGGAAGAAAUCAAAGGAGGAGAGUGACACGGGCCUCUGCGGAGUGUCGGGCUGCACAACCACACCUGGUGGGUCACACCCCCCAACACAAGCUGCAUGUAGAUGAACCGGUGCAUAAAAGGAACCCUGACACACUGAACGUAAUGUCACUACUCACAUGAUUGGCAAAAUGAGAAAAAUUAAGUCAUUCUGACUAGAUUUGGCCUCUCCUUUUAAAUGUAAUAGUAUGAAAUUAA
rnacentral:lncRNA from 1 species